GACGAACGCUGGCGGCGUGCUUAACACAUGCAAGUCGAACGGCAAGGCCCUGCUUUUGUGGGGUGCCCGAGUGGCGAACGGGUGAGUAACACGUGAGCAACCUGCCCUUGACUUUGGGAUAACUUCAGGAAACUGGGGCUACUACCGGAUAGGAGAUCCUGCUGCAUGGUGGGGGUUGGAAAGUUUCGGCGGUUGGGGAUGGACUCGCGGCUUAUCAGCUUGUUGGUGGGGUAGUGGCUUACCAAGGCAUUGACGGGUAGCCGGCCUGAGAGGGUGACCGGCCACAUUAGGACUGAGAUACGGACCAGACUGCUACGGGAGGCAGCAGUGGGGAAUAUUGCACAGUGGGCGGAAGCCUGAUGCAGCAACGCCGCGUGCGGGAUGACGGCCUUCGGGUUGUAAACCGCUUUCGCCUGUGACGAAGCGUGAGUGACGGUAAUGGGUAAAGAAGCACCGGCUAACUACGUG
rnacentral:rRNA from 1 species